UCUUCCAUACAAAAGAACUGUGCUGAAAUUACAGGAUCUAGGUUCUCCUGGUUCGUGUGAUAAUGCUAGCAGAGUAAAAACAUGGAAGAAGAGCAAGUGCCCUACACCGGAAAUGAAAUGUGGUCGGACCUCUUUCUUAAUGUCCAGUGGCCCCUGUUUCAAGGUUUAGUGCAACAGUU
ensembl:snoRNA